AUGGUUUUCAAAACAAUUUGGAGAGCAAUGUUGACGAACCAUGUAUAUGCGACCAAUUAUCUACGGAAAGACGAUCUGCAUCCUAUCCAGCAUGUAAUUUACCAGAACUGGCUGUAUAUUCAAGAGCAUGCUGAAUACAGGUGCUCUGGAACUGUAGGGGAACAUGAAGGAAAACACUACGGAUUAGAUAUUUUCCGCUACACUUAUUUUACUUCUCCGAUCAGAAGAUACAUAGAUCUUGUUGUCCACAGGCUUGUGCAUUCAGCAUUAUUUCAAGAUACACCAUGUUCCUAUAGUAAAGAAGAAAUCGACGAUAUAUGUCAGCACGCAAAUUUGGUCAGUAAGAGAGCAAAAGAUUAUGAAAGAGGAUGCAAAACAUUAAAGAUGGCAACUGAAUUAGGAAGGAAGCCUCGAAUUUUCACGUGUUACGUUAACAGCUGCACUGACGGAGAAAUCACAUUUUGCACACCUACACUCAGGGGUCAAGCUUUGGUCCACAGAGAAAUACCGUUUAAAUUAUUGGACAUGGCAGAAAAACCUGUCAUCAAGCAUGAUAUAAACACACGCUCUAACAAAGUACGUGCCGUCUGGAGUAAACGGCUGUACAAUUUCCGUCCUGUAAUCAGUAAUGUCAAACUCGACAGUACUCAGGAACUAAAUCCAUAUAAAGAUAUGUUUCUGGUUCCUAUGCAACAAUGGGUACAGUUGCUUCGAAUUCUGACUAUAGAAAAAGCAGACAAAAAGGAAAUCUGCUACACUGAUAUUAUAGAGAACACAAGAGUUGUUUCUUCUAAUGGCUUACAUGAUGUCACUACAGAACAUGCAGUCGCAACAGAAGUUGAGGUAGGUAGGAAGCAACAAAAAUCAAUUGUUUUCCAACCAAGCACAAAGUUUUCCAUGUCUUUUUCACGAGGACAACGACUCAAUAUUCAAAUGACAGCAGUUCAGAAGAAGGGAACGACCGUUCUUAAAGCGUCACUGUUAAACUUGACAGAUAAUGUGAAAUUUUGUCUUCAGCACACAGAUGACCCGGUGUUAUAUUUGUCGCGAUAUACGUCGAAUGCUACUCGUGACCGUUAUAAAGACGUAAAAACAUAUCGUGAUAUUUGGCUCCCGAUUUUAUCGAUGGAAGCAUCUAAAGGUGUGUUAAAAAAUGAAGAAUCAUGUUGUCUCAAUGACCGUCCAAUAAAGUUUAGCCAUGAUCGAACAGGGAAAUUUGUUCUCGAUGAGGAAGAUUGCGAAAUGAGAAAUAUUGAAUUCUCUGGAACCUUUUUUGAAGACAGUAAUCGAAACGAAUACAAAGCUCCAUCGUACGAUUGGUUGUGCAUCAAAACUAGUCGACCACAUGCAGUUCGGGACGAUUUGCAGUGUACUGCUACUUACAUAUGGGUCGGACAUGGAGAGAUAACUCGUGUCGAGCAAAAGAGUGGAAAACUUGUAAUUUCUUUUAUACUUCACGAAACGUCAAAAGCUGAUGACAUCAUCUUUAACCAAGAGACCCGAUUUCAUAUUGAAAUCUUGAAGAAAUCUGAGGUAGACAGGAGAACUGAGAGUUUUAUUCAGGAGCUUGAAAAGGGAUCACUUGCUGCAAACAUUGCUCUAAGAAAACCAAUUUCCGAUUUAGAUGAUGACUUAGUGCAGAUAGCAAAUAAAAUGGAUACAGACUUAUUUAUAAAGAUAAAGGAUGAUAAUGCUUGGAAACCUCUACCAAGAAAUAACGCAAUGCAGAAAGCAGCGAUCUGUAAAGCAUUGAAGUCCCGCUUCACCCUCAUACAAGGACCACCAGGUACUGGGAAAACACAAACUGCAAUAAAGCUUAUCUGUCUUUUUACGAAAGUCAACAACACGAAGCAGAGAAAAAUGAUGGAUCGGAAUCAAGUUUUGUUCUGUGGACCAUCAAACAAGUCUGUCGACUUGGUAGCAAAGUGGAUGUUAAAUCGGAUGGGUGAGCAUCGACCAAAAUUUGUACGAGUUUACGGCAGAACGAUUGAAACAGAAAAAUUUCCAAUACCAGGAAAGAAUUUUCUCACCAAGAGAAGCACAAAAAAUCAGGCAGCUGAUCCUGAACUGGAAUCAGUGUCGCUGCAUCAUCUAAUACGGAAACCUGAAAAUACAUUUUCCGAAAGAAUUAAAGAAUUCGACAAGUUGUUUGCAGUGAACAAAAACAAACCAAUGCCGAUAAAAGAAAAAGAAUAUGCUAAACUGAUUGCAAAGGCAUCUAUUGAAGAAAUGAAAAAGUAUGACGUUAUACUAUGUACGACGGCAGUUGGCACCAAUCCGAAACUAUUGAGAGCGACAGAUAUUUCCCAGAUCAUUGUUGAUGAGGCGGGGAUGUGCCCGGAACCAAAUUGCCUUGUUCCAAUAAUUGCCACAAAUGCUAAGCAGGUCGUGCUUAUUGGAGACCACAAGCAGCUCAGACCAAUCGUAAUGUGUAAAGAGGCGGCGGUACUUGGCUUAGAGACGUCGUUGUUUGAAAGAUACGCAACUGAUCAUUCUUCCACCAAUGUUGCGUUCAUCAUGUUAAACGAGCAAUACCGCAUGAAUCCUGAAAUAUGCAGUUUUCCGUCCGAGCAGUUUUAUGACGGUGCCCUAAAAACAGGAAAAGGCCGUUGGUGUGAAGAUCCAAUGAAUAUUUGGCCAAGCAAGGGACGCAACAUCUAUCCGCAUGUGUUUGUUCAAAUAGAAGGUGAAGAAGAAGUCCUCACAGUGUCUACUGAAGAAGGAAAUGAGCAGUCAAGAAGCAAUCUGCUAGAAGCAAAACAUGUAGGAACAACCGUCUGAUUCGGUUCAAAUCAUAUCACAGUACAAUGCGCAGUGCCACGAAAUUAGAACACAACUAAAGGAUGAGGGUUUUGUAGAUGUCAAUGUCAGUACAGUGGUCUCUAGUCAAGGAGGCGAAUGGGAUUACGUUAUAUUCAGCACAGUCCGAUCACUUCCCCAUUACAAGAUAGAGCGGAACCCUACAAUUGGAUGGUGCAAGCACAAUCUUGGGUUUAUCACUGACAGAAACCAGGUCAAUGUAGCAUUGACCAGAGCCAAAAAAGGCCUUAUCAUCAUAGG
rnacentral:misc_RNA from 1 species